GAAACUACACCUCUGAGCUUCCGUAUGGCAGUCAUUUUCAGCUCAGAGUCAGAUAGGCAGAGAGGCUCUCUUCAAGAUCUCCCUGCAAUCAUUAUCCCUCUUCCCUGUCACAAAGGUUACCGAGACUCCAGCUGAACUUUAGUCAUGAAGAUCCUUCAUUGCCUCUCUGCUGCCAUCUUACUAUUAUUAUGGACUGUUCAAGAAGACAGCCCUGCAGAUGCCGCACUUCUUACUUGCUCCUCCAUGGGAGGGUACUGCAUUCAGCCAGUCAAUCAGACCUGCCCUUCGGGUCUAUUCCUGGAUGUGCCCUGCCAUUUCAAAAGAGUUUGCUGCUCAAAGAUGGGUGAUUAGCCUUCAUGUGCAUCCUCACCCAUCUCACCUGUUCUUCAAGUUGGCUGCUGGAAGCUCAGCUGCAAUGACUUCUGUCAGCAAGGCCUUCCUCGCCAUUCUGAAACAACACUUGGGAACAACCAGCAUUGAUUGUUCAGGAAUCCUCAUUGAUUGUUCAGACAUCAUCUAAGGUUUUAUUUCAGUCAUAUUUUCAUGUAUCUCUGCUUGGCAAAUAAAGUUCCCCUGUGGAAGGAGGGGCAAGUUUGUU